GGGGAUAUAGCUCAGCAGCACAGCUUCUGCCUGGCAAGCACAAGGGCCUGAGUUCAAUUCCCAAUUACCCCC
rnacentral:tRNA from 1 species